rnacentral:rRNA from 1 species
UCAGGUAGGAAUACCCGCUGAACUUAAGCAUAUUAAUUUGCGGAGGAAUCUG